rnacentral:rRNA from 1 species
UUAAAUUGAAGAGUUUGAUCAUGGCUCAGAUUGAACGCUGGCGGCAGGCCUAACACAUGCAAGUCGAACGGUAACAGGAAACAGCUUGCUGUUUCGCUGACGAGUGGCGGACGGGCGAGUAAUGUCUGGGAAACUGCCUGGUGGAGGGGGAUAACUACUGGAAACGGUAGCUAAUACCGCAUAACGUCGCA